rnacentral:rRNA from 1 species
AGUGGGGAAUCUUGCGCAAUGCGCGAAAGCGUGACGCAGCAACGCCGCGUGGGGGAAGACGGCCUUCGGGUUGUAAACCCCUUUCAGGAGGGACGAAGGUUCGCCGGUGAAUAGCCGUGCGGAUUGACGGUACCUCCACAAGAAGCUCCGGCUAACUACGUGCCAGCAGCCGCGGUAAUACGUAGGGAGCAAGCGUUGUCCGGAAUCAUUGGGCGUAAAGCGCGCGUAGGUGGCCUCGUAAGUCCGCUGUGAAAGUCCAAGGCUCAACCUUGGAAAGCCGGUGGAUACUGUGAGGCUAGAGUACGGAAGAGGCGAGUGGAAUUCCUGGUGUAGCGGUGGAAUGCGCAGAUAUCAGGAGGAACACCAAUAGCGAAGGCAGCUCGCUGGGACGUUACUGACACUGAGGCGCGAAAGCGUGGGGAGCGAA